CCUCAGGCAGGCUGCACUCAUGGUGAAACGGUGAUGCUGCCGUCUCCCGAGGUUCUGCCUGCGCUGGCCUGUCCUCCUUAGCCAUCUGCCUCUGCCUGAGUAGUUUGACAGAGUCACGUGGCAGAAACGGGUAGGGUGUUGGCGGCCUGCGGCGCGGGGCUGUGGUCCUUGGAGGCGGACUCCUGGGAGACUCUGGUCUGUUGCGUAUGGGUGGCAGCAAACCAGAUCGGCUGGUGGAGGGCUCCUCGGGCAGGCUGCACUCACGGUGAAACGGUGAUGCUGCCGUCUCCCGAGGUUCUGCCUGCGCUGGCCUGUCCUCCUUAGCCAUCUGCCUCUGCCUGAGUAGUUUGACAGAGUCACGUGGCAGUAACGGCGGCCGGGAUGCGUGGCCUUUGGUGUCCCUGGACAGGCUGGACUCAGCCCUUAAUGAACAUCUCCUUUCUUUGAUGCGAGAUGCCACCUGCCUCCCGGCAACCUGAGGGUGCGAGGCCUUUGCUUUCCACAUGGCCGCCGCUCCAGCCUCAUGGUCCUGUCCCGCUCCUUGUUCAUCUCCGCGGAACCUGACGUGUUUUUUUCCUGUUGUUUGGCCCAGGUGUUCUUGGCCUUCGUUUCCUGCCUGGCCCUGCAGCUGCCGGCUCACUGGCUGCUCGCGGGCUUCAGAUGCUCUCGGGACCGCCGGCAGCGGACUGAAAAGACAGAGCGGGAGGGAUCUGCUUGAGUGGGUGAUGGCUUUGGGGCCGCAUCCUGCAACCCUGAGCCAGGACCCUUGGCUGCAACGCAGCCUUGCCCACAGACAGCUCACCGGCUGCCCCGUGGCGCUCCUGAGAUCCGGACAGGGGCCAGCCCUGUGAGCUGAUCCCAGCCCGGAGCCUCCAGCCUCACCUGGACGAAAAGCUCUCCUUCUGCUGUAAGCUUCUUCUGCUUCCCGAGCUUUGUCCAGCAGUACUUGCCAUGCUGAAGCGUCUGAUGUAGGUUGGCACUUCAUCAAACCUCACUGGAAUUGGGAAGGCAGAAGAGAUUCACCUGAAGCCUUUGGCUCAGUGACAAGGGGCGCUCAGGGACUUCCCAUCACACGGUGGUUGCACGUGCCAUGGGAAGGAGCUGGCAGCUGCUUUACCUUUCUUGCCCCGGACAAGAGGUGGCAAAGCCCCUUCUUUCUUUUGCUUCCCCUCACCAUGGAGAUCUCCGGAGGCCUUGCGGAAUAUCUUGGGAGGUGGUUUGGGUGCAACCUGCUUCUGAAACCUGUGCAGAAGGAGCAGACACCGGCGUGACGCAGUGCUCCGCCAAUCCUUUUUGCUGGCCGUGAUGUCUGCUCACAGCACAUUUUCCUGCUGCGUUAAGGCCACUCACUACUUUCUGGAGUCCUUAGCAGGGUCCGCUGGGGGUAGGGCAAGGGGAAAUAGUUUCAAAGGGAAAGAGGGAGGAUUGAGAUUGGAUGUACGGAAGAAGUUUUUGGCAGGAGGGUGGUGAGGCACCGGAACGUCUUGCCCAGAGAGGUGGUGGCUGCCCGGACAGUCAGGCUGGACCAGGCUCAGAGCAACCUCAUCUGGCGGUAGGUGUCCCUGUUCCUUGCAGGGGCGUGGGACUAGGUGCCCUUUCAGGGUUGCUUCCAGCUCAAAUGAUUCUGUGGUUCUGUGCCAUAUCGUCGCGGGCAGGACAGCCAUGGACAAGCGCUAUGGAACGAGAGCUGAGCAGCUGCAUCAAGCAGCGGCUGCAGCCACAAACAUACUCACAUGGGAAAGACGACGAGGCGGCCAGAGUGCGUCAGGGAGGCCACCGGUGCCACCCGGGACACCAGCGUGUCCAGCAGCCAGGGGGCCUGCAGGGGGGGAGGAACAGGGAGGUUGUGGGACGUCCUUGUGAUGGCUGAGGCCCUCAGGACUGGAGGAGCCCAAGGCAGGGAGAGCUGACAGCACCGCAGCACCUGCACAGCCCGAGCAGCUGGCCAGGUCCUGGUGGGCCGUGUGCGGGCAGAGCAAGGGUCACGGGACUGCCCGGGCCAUGGAGAAACCUGCAGCUCACCUUGAAGACAGCUUUUCUGAAUUUCUCCUUCCCAGAGAGCUUCUCAAGGAAGUCGUAGUAGUAUUUAAUUCCAAAGCUCAUGCCUUCAAAGAGGAGCACUCCUACGUCCUUCAGGACAAAGGCAACGUUCUCCCCAUUCUUGAGGCAGUUGGAGAGGAGGGACACGGUGCUUUGGAUGCAGGUCUUCCCUCUCUGCCAGGUCACAGAGGCAGCGGCAGCCACCUCGCUGUAUUUCAGGGUCUCCACCUCCCUGUGGGCUGAAAAAUGCGAGGGACAGAGUUGAUCCUGCAGUCGCUUUUCCACAGGCGCUUGCUUGCUUCCCUACAAGUGCUUCUUGCGGCCAUCAGCCAGCACGGC
ensembl:lncRNA